rnacentral:rRNA from 1 species
CUACGAAGGGGGCUAGCGUUGUUCGGAAUCACUGGGCGUAAAGCGCGCGUAGGUGGAUCAAUUAGUUGAGGGUGAAAUCCCGGGGCUCAACCUCGGAACUGCCUUCAAUACUGUUGAUCUUGAGACCGAGAGAGGUGAGUGGAAUUCCUAGUGUAGAGGUGAAAUUCGUAGAUAUUAGGAAGAACACCAGUGGCGAAGGCGGCUCACUGGCUCGGUACUGACGCUGAGGUGCGAAAGCGUGGGGAGCGAACAGGAGUAGAAACCCCAGUAGUCC